UAGGGUUGGACUGAAAACCCACAGGAUGGUAGAUCUCCAGGAAGAGGGUUGGGUAGCCCUGCUUUAGAAAUACAUUUUUGGAUCAAAUGUUUAUUCACUUUAAUAAACAGAAUGUUUAGUUUUUAUCUAGCAUUAUUGUUGAGGCUGCAAAAGCACAUUGCAGUAUUAAUCAUGAGUGAGAGUUUGGGUGAGCUGAUAUUGUAACCCAAAAUUAAUUUCAGUAAACUACUUGAACUGUAUGACAUCUACUCCUGUCAUCAGCUUGAAUGUCAGUGUCUUCGAAGAGAAACCAACACAUACAUGUACACAGAAUUCCAUAGUCCAGAAUUCUCAACCUACACUCUGGACCUCGAUGCGUUUGUUCAUUGUUCCCCUUCUAAUCAGGGACUGAUUUAGACCUGGAACACCAGGUUGGUGCAAUUGAUUAUGCGGUAGAACAGAACCGGCAGGCUCCGGACCUUGUAGGGUAAGAGUUGAAUACCCCUAGAGGCUAUGCAAAGCCAACGCAGCAGUUGGACUUAUGGUGCACUGAUGCUGGAACAUAUGUCCUGACAGAACAAGUCUGCUGCCUCUACAUCCAGCUAUAUUGUUCAGAGUAGAAAAUACAACUUUGUUGGUCAGAUACACAUAUUUAGCAGAUGUUAUUGCGGGUGUAGCGAAAUGCUUAUGUUCCUAGCUCCAACAGCGCAUUAAUAUCUAACAAUUAGCUAGUAAAGACCAUGUGGAGGAGCUGAUGGGGCUGUAUUUUAUGGCUGUCUGGACUGCCCAAUUUUUGACCUAUGGGUAUAGAAUCCUAUGAGGACAAGGUCAAUGAAAAGCUAUUGGGAAAUGACCUUUGGCUUAAUUACUACAGUCCCUACACUGUUGCCUUUGAAAAGAGAACAUUUAAACGAACAUCUGGAUUUAAUAUUUUAUUAGUAUUGGCAAGUUCAACUAUCAACUUUGCAUGCCAUGUGUUAACGCAGUAAACAAACCAAACUAAUGUAACAUCCUCGUUUCUAGAGUGCUUUGGAUCCACUGAGGUGGUGCUGCUGACUCACUGACUUCAGUCAGUUACUUCAACUCUCCCCUACUAAUUAGCCACCUAACACUUACCACCUCUAACAAUGCAUGCAAUCCGUAGCUACCCUCUCCCCUCCACUAUGAUUUAUGGCUGACUGUUUCUAUAGCGUUUUGCUGAGUAGGCUUGCCAUAUGUUAGAUUAGAUUAAUGCAUUACUGAAUUGGGGUUAUAAUGUAAAUUAAAACCAUAUAAUUCCGUCUUUUUGGCUGCUUCAUUGGUCCUGUUCAUUCUGAUAUUAUUUUGUUCCUCUACUCAGCUUCCGUCUGUCUAUUCCUAACCCACUGACUGCUCCGCACAGAAAACAUUAGCUUUCCUACUGUACGCGUUUGUAACAGGGCUGGGGGUCAAUUGAAGGUGAAUUUCAAAAAAAGAAACGCGUUGUGAUUAAAUAGCUGCUUGUAACGUGUACGUUAAUAAUCGGGAAGCAAAUACAGGCAGCGAAUUUAUCAAAUUAACGAAAAAUGAGUAGCGUAAAGACAUGAAACCGAAACAACAGCUGGGGAAAGAACCGACGGGAGUGACAGAUAUAGGGGAGGUAAUCAGGAAGGCGAUGGAGUCCAGAUCAUGGCUAACUUUGACAUGGUGCUGGGGGCCAGUGGAGGCUGACUACAACAAACAUGGAGGACUGGUUCUGAGCCGUCUGUUUGCAGAGCACCCAGACGUUGUCGCGGGCGACCUGUCAGGGAACGCAGCAGUAGCUGCCCACGGGGCCACUGUGCUUAUGAAGCUGGGUGAGCUGCUGAAAGCUAAAGGUGACCACGCUGCCAUCCUUAAGCCCCUGGCAACCACCCAUGCCACCAAGCAUAGGAUUGCCCUCAACAACUUCAUGGUCAAAGAAACACUACAUAAUGAAAGCAACCAGAAAGCAAUUUGGAGGCAUUGAACCAACGGCUUUCGCCAGGCAGCAGGCACUCCACCUAAUGUCAGUAUAUUGACACAGCAACGAGACAUUCUAAAAAAGGGCAGUGGAGGGAUGCAGCCAGCUUCCUCACAGAGACCAGCCGCUCAGGGGGCACUGACACAUUACGAGCUGGAGGAGGAGACACACACACCACAGAAACACAGAGUGUAAGAGUAUCGUAGUGGGCUUUCCACUACGUUGAGACAUUAACUUUGGAGUUCCUUAACGGGUGUUACUCCAUAUGGAUCUGUUUUUACUGCUUGGAUAUGAAACUGGUAGGUAAUAUUGGCGUAAAUCUUUUUCUAAUGUUUUAUCCAUUACCUGGUUGCUGUUUUUUUGUCUGCCUGUUUUUCCCCACAGGGGUCUACCCGGUGUUUGCAGCGGUACUGGGUAAUUUAUCCCUCACCGGUGUCAUGACGUUACCCUCGUCGGGUACAGCAAGCCCCAUCCCCCUCUCCCUGUCUCCUGCACCCAGGCUGCUGUGGUCAGAGAGAAGUCGUAAAUUCCUGGAGGAGAUUAUCUCCUCAUGGCCACAGUUUUGAGAGAGUGAAUUUUCAUAGAGAACAAAGGAAUUUCUUCCACCUCACAGAACUUGAGAUCUGAACAACAUUUAUGUUCUGGAGAAGGUAUAAAAGAUCGGUGAAGUAACCAGCUACAAACUGGUCCGUUUGGUACAAUUUGGUGAAACUCAUGGGAGACAAUACCAUAACACUGUUUAUAUAAUAGCCUCAGAUAUGAGGUUUACAUCUAAUUGUUGUAUAAGAUGAAUGAGUGAAGAUGAUACUGUUUGUAAAAUUGUGUAAUGUGAUUUUGGACUGUUUAAUGAACGAAACUCCAAUUCCCUUUUAACUAAAUCAGAGGACCGCCCAUGAGCCCAGUUUGGACCUGGCGUCAUGAGGCAGUCUUUUUCUGCCCUCCCGAAGAAAAGCCCCACUUAUAGAAUUUUUCAACAGACCAUGUUUCCCUCAAUUACGAGAGGACAAAGGUUGCAGACCAGCUAACCUCGAUAACGAGAGGGCCAAGGUUUGAGUAGAUGACUGAAUAUUUUAACCAUACCACGUGGUUAAACUCUUAGACUAUCGAUACUGACAGAAUAAGAACAAGUAUUUUAUAUUAAUUACUAGUCUGCAGCUAGGAAUUCAGCAUCAUUGAACGCGAAGACCGACAACCGCCGAAAAAUCUAUCCAUAACUACAUGAAUGAAUGUCACUCUGAACUAUCCAUUCUAACCACGACAGAGUGCGGACAAACUCUCCGACAGAAACAAACUUUUCAACAGAGACCCCGACGACACACUGAGCGUAAAUAUAUAUAUUGAUUGCAAUUGUUCCCAAAUGAGUGAGUGGUCAUGUGCAAAGGACUAGCAUUACAAAUGUUAUAAUUAUCAACUGUGUUGUCUUAUCUCAGUCGACCCCCACUUCCCUUUUGUACAACAAGCCGCGAAGACGGUUUAUCCUACUAGGGAAACUCCAUUAUCAUUUCCUUGUAACUAUCUACUGUUUGUUUAUGCAUUUCUGUGAAUUACUUAGUAAAUAAAUGAUUUAAGACAA